rnacentral:lncRNA from 1 species
AUGCCUUUCAAGUCUGGGUAUUUUAGAAUUAGUGGGACAGAUAACAACAACAGAAGUGCAAAACUAUAUUUAAAACCGGCUGUGCUUGGCACCCAGAAACUUUCUUUUUUCCUCACAUUCCUCAUAUUACUUGAAGACCUCUGAAAUAAUGAACCACUUCUAGAAAUUAAUAAUUCCCCCAGGACUUAAAUCCGGGUUUCUUUGCCAGCUUCUCAGACAUUGUGUCUGUGUGUGCACACAUUGAAGACACAAAAAUAUUGUUCCUACAAAUACUGAAAAAUUAUGGAUGAUGCUUCUAAAAUAAACAACAUACUUAUGAAAAUGAUUGUGAUUUU